GCGGGAGUGGUUCAGUGGUAGAAUUCUUGCCGGCCACAUGGGGGCCCCAGGUUCUAUUCCUGGCCCAUGCA
rnacentral:tRNA from 1 species